GCUAUAUUAACCUCUUUGGCCAAGAUUCGGGACUCUGGUAGGCGGAAGGACAAUUGAACAUGUGGAAGAUUGAUAAAACAACAGAAAGCUUACCCCUUUUUGUAACUUAUCCUCUAUUGCUACUGCACCUAGCAGGAUCAAAUCUUUCUCAAUCAUUUCAGAGACAUUUUCUAGUAAGUCCUCUCUUUCUGGACCUAUAGUAGCCUUGGCUUGUGUAAAUAGUGAGUUCCAU
rnacentral:misc_RNA from 1 species